GAGUUGGGGCGUGCAGCUUGAUGGUGUCAGUUGGAACGGCGGUGCCCUGUCGUCGCAAGAAACAUUCGCUUGUGAGGACGGCUGUGCUGCCUUACUGGACAGUGGUACGUCUUUGAUCGCUGCACCAAGCAGUGUGGUGGCAGAGGCGGUUGCCAGGCUGAACAGAAUUGGG
rnacentral:ribozyme from 1 species